UGGUAGUAUACGCAAGCAGCGUCCUGGUAUGACUCUGGAAAAGUAGGUCGCCGGGGGCCUUCGCCAUCUCCCACGCCUGCUGAACCAUGCUGCGCUGAUUCUUCAGGCCCAGCCCCACAGAAGCCGGACGGUCUGCGCAAGCAAGCCACUCGACGGAAGCACGAACAGGGGGCGGCUGGUCUCGCAUCGGACUCAUCGGUGCCG